rnacentral:rRNA from 1 species
AGAUAUGAUCCAGAGUACCACGGGCCACGUGAAACCCUGUGGGAAGCAGGUGGGACCACCCUCCAAGGCUAAAUACUACCUAGUGACCGAUAGCGUAUAGUACCGUGAGGGAAAGGUGAAAAGAACCCCGGGAGGGGAGUGAAAUAGAACCUGAAACCCUGCACUUACAAGCUGUGGAAGCACAUUUCUUGUGUGACCGCGUACUUUUUGUAGAACGGGCCAACGAGUUACGUUA